rnacentral:rRNA from 2 species
GCCAAGCCCCAGGUCAGACGGGGGCACC